CUUUGCUGGGGAUUACGUGGCUAUUUGGUCUUCUGUUACCCUUACACAAAGCGGUCGCCUACAUUCUCACACUUUUCAACUCCACUCAGGGCUUUUAAUAUUUCUCCUUCACUGCGUAAGAAACUCAGAGAUCAGAUCUCACUUCAAAAGAAGGAUCAAUAGCGUCAUCCCAAC